GUGAAUCAUCAAAUUUUUGAACGCAAAUUGCGCCUUUUUCGGAAGGCAUGUCUGUUUGAGGGCACCAUUUAACAAAUAAUGUGCAUUACGUAUGCACUCGUGUAUGAACUUUCCAUUGUUAUGUAUUAUUUUUGUUUUCUCUUAAUAAACAGCACGAUGCUUCUUUUCAGUUCGAGUGUAGUAAAAUUUUUUCUUGCUUGAGUAGUGAAAAGCGUGAUCUCAUAAUUGGUGUGACAAUGUUAUU
rnacentral:misc_RNA from 1 species